CAGUCGCCGCGGUAAUACGUAGGGUGCAAGCGUUAAUCGGAAUUACUGGGCGUAAAGCGUGCGCAGGCGGUUAUAUAAGUCAGAUGUGAAAUCCCCGGGCUCAACCUGGGAACUGCAUUUGAGACUGUAUGGCUAGAGUGUGUCAGAGGGGGGUAGAAUUCCACGUGUAGCAGUGAAAUGCGUAGAUAUGUGGAGGAAUACCGAUGGCGAAGGCAGCCCCCUGGGAUAACACUGACGCUCAUGCACGAAAGCGUGGGGAGCAAACAGAAUUAGAUACCCCUGUAGUCCCUGUCUCUUAUAC
rnacentral:rRNA from 1 species